GAAUAUUAUUUAAAUACGAAAAAAAAACUUCAAAUACCACCUAUAUAGUUUCGUACAUUUUUUUUUACUUUAGUAUCCUGUAUUUUAAAGUGUGUCAAUUUAGUACUUUAUAAUUUUAUUUUUAUUUUUUUAUUAUCACUUCUAUUAAUAUUUUUGUUAAAUUAGUAACAAAGUUAAAACUAAAAGGUAGUAAAGUGAAUAUUCAAUAAAUCUACGUAGCGUAUUUGAAGUUUUUUUGUAUAUAAUUUAACGAAAUGUUAAUGGAGGAGCUGAAAAAAAGAGAAAUGAAAUCACAUGGUACUAAAGUGAGGAAGUGCGAACUCAACCCUAAAGGACCACUCAACCCUAGGGAGACCAUUCAACCCUAAGGGACUAAUAUCAUCCUAACCCCAAAAUAAUUUUUCAUCCAAGGGUUAAAGACUUGAUAGCAAAAGGGACCAAAUACUAUCAAUAGUAUUCCAGCCCAACUCGUAUAAUUCUAUAUAUAUUUAUAUAUAGUCCGGCUAGUAGCAUAAUUCUAUACUAGUGAAGGUACCCGCGCGAUGCGGCGGAUCGAUUUUAUAGGAGUAGAUGAUCAAUUUUCAUAAAAGCGAUAAAUCGAAAAGUAGUACGUCGAUAGUAGCAGAAAUGAACAAAUGAGAAAAUGUAAACAGUUAGCAAUAAUUGGUGGUACACAAAUAUACCAACAGUUAAGAACCAAUAGUCAGCGGUAAUAAUGAAUAAAGCAGCGCAUUAGCAGUAAACAAAAAUAUAUAGUUGAGGAGAAGUAAA
rnacentral:lncRNA from 1 species